rnacentral:rRNA from 1 species
UACGUAGGGGGCGAGCGUUGUCCGGAUUUAUUGGGCGUAAAGAGCUCGUAGGCGGUUGGGUAAGUCGGGUGUGAAAACUCAGGGCUCAACUCUGAGACGCCACUCGAUACUGCUCUGACUCGAGUCCGGUAGGGGAGCGUGGAAUUCCCGGUGUAGCGGUGAAAUGCGCAGAUAUCGGGAGGAACACCAGUGGCGAAGGCGGCGCUCUGGGCCGGAACUGACGCUGAGGAGCGAAAGCGUGGGGAGCAAACAGG